rnacentral:tRNA from 1 species
GUAAAUGUAGUUUAACUGGUAAAACCCUGGAUUGUGACUCCAGAAGCUGAAGGUUCGAAUCCUUUCUUUUACC